GCGGCCGCGGCGGCUGCAACCGGGGUCCGGCCCUCGGCCUGCGCUCCGCGGCCCCUCCGCGUGGGGCCUGGCGGGGCCGGAGGAUGGGAGCCGAGAGGGCCGGGGGCCGAGCGGAAGAGAAGGAGCUGCUAACCGGGCCGGCGGGGCGACCCGGGGGGGAAUCCUGCGUGUGACGCGGCCUUUGCAGUCCCGCCGAGGAUCCCGGGAACGGCCGAGCUUCCCGCUCCCGGGAACCCCCCUCUGGGCAUCUCCUCGCGCCGGCCCCGGUGCCCUCGCCCGAAGCUUCCGGGUGCUCCCCGCCCUUGACCCUCAUCACAGUCCCUUGGGGGGACUCACCUAACCGCAGGCGCCCGGGCCUCGCCCGUCUUUCCGGCUUUCUAUUGGGGAAGUCCGGCUCUCUGGAAGGGGUCAGCCGCCUUUAAAAGUGGGGGUCUCGCUAUACUGCCCAGGCUGGACUCAAAUUCCUGAACUCAAGGAGCCCUCCCAAGUAGCUAAGACUACAAGCAUGCAUCACUGUGCCAGAUGGUCACAUGUCAUGAAUAAAAGGCAACAUAUUCCGAAGCAAAGAGGAAGUUACUCCAUGACAAGCUGACAGUGGCACCCACUUUCCUUUGGUCACUUAUGGAGCACUGUGAUAUAUUAUAAUUUAGGAGUGUCCACUAAUUGGAUUUUGCACAUUAUCACAUAGUUUUAACUAAAUCAACCCUCACAAAAUGGAUCAAGUAGUUUAAAAGAAUUUCUUGAGAAAAAUUAUAGAUUGGAGAUAAAAUUAAUAAUGUAAGCUCAAGCAAACAAUAAUAAUUGAAUACAUGUAUAUUGAAAAGGAGGCUCCCUAAAUUUGUUUACUGAUGGGCUUCACAAUCACAGCCAGAGUAACUAGUAUCUUGAGAAAAUGGAAAAUGGCUUACACCACUCUCUAUUAUUGGAAAAGCUAAUGUAUCUAGUACUCAGAGAUAAUUUAUUUGGCCUGUUAAUUUAGAACUUUAUGAACUAGUGU